GAAUUCUCUGUGUCACACUGAAACCAGAGUGCUGGUCUCCUUAAUGGGCUGGAGCAUUCACUGCUGUUCUGGUUUUCCCAAUGCUAACAUGUGUCUAACAUUUAAUUCCUGUUAUUCACAGGCACAUGUGAGUAUCUGUAGCAACCUCAAGAGAAAAAUAUGGAUCUGUCACAAAAUGCUGAAAUGGCAACUUUUGUCCUUUGCUUCAGAGAUCACCUGGAAAGGACAUCCUGACAUAUUCAAGGCUGGAAUUUCUUCUGGCAGUGGCAUAAAAUUGAAGUUUUUGCUGAGGUCGAGGACAAUUGAGCCUCUUGGCUUGCAGCUGCCCCAGGUGUCAGAAGGGUGAGUCUGUCACUCCAGAACAUGGUGCUGAAAGCAAGUGGGAGAACUCCUGCCCUUAUUUAUCUGACUACCACCAUGGAGAAAAGCCUGGAAGGGCAGUUCUUCCACAGCCUAAGUGAAGGCUGCUGCUGCUCUCUGAGUUUACAGCCCUGACCACACAAGCUGGAUUUCUCACUUGGCAAAGCUUUCUCUGGUACAUCACUGUCUGAGCCCAAAUUCAGAGCAGUGAACACAACCCUGAAUCCAACAUGAGAGAAGGAGAGAUCACUUUGAUGACAGCUCUUGAUCACAGUCAAAAAGGGGAUUAAACUUUGCAUGGAAAGGAACACAAGCAUGCUCCAAGUGCAGCAAUCUGUGUGGAAGGUGAUUUUAAGAGGAGGAGGGAAGGAAAAGGAGCUCGUGGAUGUGGCUCUUUGACUUAGAAUUUGCUUGGAGAAAAAGGGACAGAUGCAACUGGUUUUACAAGAAAGAAUUCUGAAAACAUCAGUGAUUUCAGUUGAAUUCUGCUACUGGGUGUCUGUUGAUGAAUUCUAUUACUGGGUGUCUGAAUUCUUACCAGGUGUGUUGGUGCUGUCACAGUAAGUACCCACAUGGCAUCUCCUGAUUUUGGAGAGGCCACAGAACAAAUUAGUGAGGUUAGACACAAAAUGCCCUCCAGGCCACUCUGGCAUCCCCCAGCCCUGCCUGAUGAAGGUGCUGGUCCCUCUACACAGGCUAGCUGAAGCAUUCCUAACACCCCAGUCCCUCCCUUCUGUGUGUGUACAUACUCAGUGUAUUAUACGAAAAUUACCAUUUCUGACAGAUCCUGCAAAGUCUUCAUUUAAUCCACAAUGGGUUAAAUGCCCACUGUGUGGCAUUUUGCAGCUCAGAAACAGAGAGUUAGGCAGCCUGUGCUGCAGGCAUGUAGCAGGUACGAGCCAGCAUCUCCGAGGCAGUGGGAGCACUUUAAGCUCUUGGAGCAAAGCCAGGCUUUAGUCAUUCUUUCCCAAGGCUAAUCCCGUGGAGUGCUCAUCCUUGUGCUGGUUUAAUUCAUCUGAGCAUAAUUGUGCACACUAUCUCUCCUUAAAGAGUGGGCCAGAGAGGCACCGACAGCAAACCAAGGCGCGGAAUCUGAACAAAAUUAAAAACCUGGCAGAAGGAUUUACCUCCAACCCACAGAUCAACCCCUCUGGUUUUCUGCUCAGAAACGUCUGAGAGCUGCCUCCCCUUUUGUUUGGGUUGGUGACUAAGAGCUUCACCCACUGGUGGGAAAGCCAAAUCCCUCUGACACAUUCUUGGUGUGGAGAGGAGCAACCUGUGCAAGCAGGGGCCACGGCUCUCUGUGUCACAGCAGAGUGGCAAAAACCAUCCCAUGUGCUGGUUUUUAAAAGAGGGUUUGGGGUUUUUUAAUAAAAAUCCUGUUUUAUUGUGAUGAAAGGUACACUCAAGUCUUCCAGUAUGGAUUAUUUCUAGGGAUAUGUCUCCCUGAGACACAAUAAAUAAUAUUAAAUUAUUGGUGAAAC